UAGGGAAUCUUCCGCAAUGGGCGAAAGCCUGACGGAGCAACGCCGCGUGAGCGAGGAAGGUCUUCGGAUCGUAAAGCUCUGUUGCCAGGGAAGAAAAGGCGCUUGUUGACUGCAGGCGCAUUGACGGUACCUGAGACAGAAAGCCCCGGCUAACUACGUGCCAGCAGCCGCGGUAAUACGUAGGGGGCAAGCGUUGUCCGGAAUUAUUGGGCGUAAAGCGCGCGUAGGCGGCCCUUUAAGUCUCGUGUUUAAACCCGGAGCUCAACUUCGGGUCGCACGGGAAACUGGGGGGCUUGAGUGCAGGAGAGGGAAGCGGAAUUCCACGUGUAGCGGUGAAAUGCGUAGAGAUGUGGAGGAACACCAGUGGCGAAGGCGGCUUCCUGGUCUGUAACUGACGCUG
rnacentral:rRNA from 1 species